rnacentral:lncRNA from 1 species
GCUUGUGGGACAAGACACUAUUCAAAGGAAUGGGAGACACACUGAUCCAGAAGUUCCAACACUGUGAUCUGCAACGAACUGGGCUUCAGUGAUCAACAGUCUCCUCAAGACUUAAUCUGUUGGGAAUUUUAUGUGCCCAUGGUCGGCUUCAUCUGUCUUCCAGACAGAGUGAUAAAAAGUGGAAUCACAGCUAAUGGAGUCCCAUGCAGUGUGCUGCCAAUCUCUAGCAUCUUUGGAAGUUACAUCUAUCAGCGUGGAAUUCUCACCUGAGGCCUGCUCGUUCAACAAACAUCGUCUGAGGGCCUGCUAUGUGACUGGAAAUGUGCUAAGCAUUAGGUUGCUCUGCUCACAGGAGGACAUUAGGAGGAGAGUGGAUCACUUAAUCUUUCAUCAAGGGUUUUGCUGGUUUCAUAUAACUACAACAGUUAUGUGUAUGAAUCUUGAGAAGCCAAACUGGAGAAAAAAAUAUCCAAUCUUGUUCAUCCAUGUUGUAACAUGAAGAAAUAUACUGCCAUUUUUUUUUAUGGACAGAUAAUAUUCCACUGUAUGGAUGCACCACAUUUUGCAUAUCCAUUAAUCAGUUGAUGCAUAUUUGGGUCGUUUCCAAUUUUUACUACUGUAAUUCAUGCCACUCUAAACAUUCAGGUACAGGUUUUAUAGACAUAUGUUUGCCUUUCUCUUAGGUAUAACUAGCAGUGGAAAUGCUGGGUCAUAUAGUAGGUCUAUGCUUAAUAUACGAGGAACUGCCAGGUUGUUUUCCAAUGCAGCUGCAUCAUUUUGCAUCCCUACCACUAAUAUAUGAAUGUUCUCAUUUUUCCACAUCCUAGCCAACAUGUGUAUUCUUUCUUUUUCAUUCUAGCUAUUCUAAUGUGGGCAAAGUAGGAUCAAAUUUUUGUUUUGACUAAGUUUCCAUGAUGACUAAUGCUGUAGUUUGAAUAUCUGUUUCUUCUUAAACUCAUGUUGGAAUUUAAUUAUUUUAACACUAUUAAGAGGCAGGACUUUUAAGAGGUUAGGCCAUGAGGGCUCUAACCUCAUGAACGAGUUAAUACUGUCAUAACAGAAGUGGGUUUUUUAUCAUAGGAGUGGAUUUCUUGUAAAAGGAUGAGGUUGGCUCCUUUUUGCCCAUCCCUUCCUUUCCUCUUGCCACCACCAACUCCUUCUCCCUCUUCCCCCCUCUCUCUCUUUUUCUCUCUCCUUCCCUUUUUGCCCUCUCUUUUUCCUUUCAUCAUGGGAUUAUGUAACAAGGAGGAACCCUUGCCAGAUGUGUUCCCUUAGUCUUGGACUUCCCAGCCUCUAGAGUUGUUAGCCAGUAAGUUUCUGUUUGAUAUGGUUUGGAUGUUUAUCCCCUCCAAAUCUCAUGUUGAAAUGUAAUCCCCGACGUUGGAAGUGGGGCCUGGUGGGAAGUGAUUGGAUCACGGAGACAGAUCCCUCAUGCAUGUUUUAGCAGCAUCCCCUUGGUGAUCAGUGAGUUCCACUCAGUUAGUUCACAAGAUCUGGUUUUUAAAAGAGUCUAGGACCUCUCCUUUCUCCUUCUGUCUUGCUCCCACUCUCAUGUGAUACACCAGCUUCCCCCUUUGCCUUCUGCCAUGAGUGUAAGCUUCCUGAGGCCCUCACCAGAAGCCCAGCAGAUAUUGGGACUGUGCUUGUACAGUCUUCAGAACAGUGGGGCAAUUAAACCUCUCCUUUUUUUCAAUUGCCCAGCCUCAAGUAUUUCUUCAUACCAAUGCAAAAAAAAUAGCCUAACACACUGUUCAUGAAAAAUCAGGUACUAUGAUACAGCAGCAUAAAACUGACUAAGACAGCUGAUAAUGCUGAGCAUCUUUCAUGUGCUUAUAGAGCACAGUACAAUGGGUCAUCAUAUCACGAUAUAUUCAUGAGUGGAAUAGUAAGCAGCAAUAUAAAAGAACAGACAGUACAUAAAGACAGGAGUAUAAAUAGUGCUCAUAGACACAAUGUUUAGGAAAACAAGCCAGAUGUAAAAACAUAGCUAUUGUAUUAUUCCAUAUAUAUGAAUCAAAAGAAAAAGUAAAUAAAUAUAUAACAACAGCAGUCAGAAUAAUGGGUACCUCAUGGAGGUAUUGAGUGUGAGGCAAUAUGAGGAAAGCUUUCAUGCUACUGGAAUAUCUUUCAUCUUGAUCUGUGUGAUGACUGCAGGAGGGUAAGCGUAAGUAAAAUUUCAUCAGGUGGUGCUCCUAAGAUUUGUGCAUCCUACUGCAUUCACAUUACACCUCAACACAAUUUUUUAACAAUUUAAAGUCAUAAUAUGAGGCAAUAAAAGAUUCCCCUAGGUCAAACAACCCAGGAGUGAUAGGAAUAAAAAUUUAAUGAUGUACAAGAUAAGCCAUUUUAGGGAAAUAAAGAUUUUUGGACUAGAGCCAGAUACAGACUUUUCUAAGCUGUUUUAUCUAUCAUUUUUUAGCCAAUUUAGUUUGAAUUUAAAUUAUCUUUAUAUUAUAGCAGUUAUGAUAGCUAAAUUGCUUCCAUGAUUUGAAAUCUCCAGAUAUAUUUAAGGGCAGGAAGAAAACAAUUUCUAUAAUGAGAAAAAAAAAAAGAACCCUUUCUGCCUCGAGCUUAAAAAAAUAAGAAGGCAUUUAGUGCAGCUUUUCCUUUAACUUUAGUGGGCCCGGCAUGGGGGAACCCUCUUUUCAUGUGAUUUAAUGAUGCAGGAAGAGUAUUCAUGAGUGGUAAACCAAUGUGCUGUAUAUAGGGUUCAGAAGAAAGAAGAAAGAGCAAAGGGAUUGGUUUAUGCCAUUAAAGAUCCAGAAACAUUUAUCCUAUGAGAGCUGGUCUAGAAAAAGAAAAAAAUGAUGGUGAAGAAGUAAACUUAGAUAUGGCACAAAAGGAGCAACUAGUACUUCUCAUUAUGGACAGUAGUCUUUAAAGCAUCCACUGGCUCUAAUAUAUGACUGACGAGAGAAGAAAAAAAGGUAAAGUAGAUCAGAUCAUUUACAGAGACUCAGAAGGUAUCCAUCCAGUUCCAUGUUCCACGGGGCAAUUAUUAGGACAGAUUCUCUAGAAGCAGAACCCGAGACAGGAAUUCAUUUGCAAGGGAUUUCCUGAGGGAGUGCUCUCAGGUGAAAUUGAUAGGGGGAUGAGGGAGGCAGAGUAAGAAGUCAGGUACGAAUAUGGGUCAAGCAUUGUUGACCCAUACUCAGACCUAAAAUUACUCAGUCUUGGGAAGGAGAAUCCCAUGGGGAGGGAUAGGGAGACAAAAAUUCUCCCUUUGACCAAACUCUAGUCAGGCUCUUCUGAAUUCUUUUCUCAACCAGCCCUUGACUUUUGGUUUUCUAGGUUUGCUUCUGCAUUGUUCAAUUUUAGCAAGAAUCCUACUAAGUCAGUUGAGCCAGAAUUCCUCAUCUUUGGUAUCUUAUCACUCUCAAUAUGCGAUCAGCCUUCUCAUUCUCCCCCAUCUUCCAGGUAAUAUCUAAUCACCCUGGCCAGUCUUUAACAAGAAUCUUGUCAGGUUGUUUAACCAGAAUCUUCCCCAACUCUGAUUUUUUCUUCUCUUAGUAAUUUUUCAUUCACUGACCCCCCCACCCUGCUCCUAUAAAUUCCUAUUUUCCCUUGUCAUAUUCACAGUUGAACCCCAUCUCUCUCUGUCACUGCAAAACCCUACUGCAGUGGUCCAUACCAUUAUGAUCCCAAUUUAAGAAUGUCUUACUGUUCUCUGCAAGGGUCAUGGAUAAUUUUUUUAACACGAGACAAGGAUGUAAAUACUCAGGAGAACAGGCAGCAGUGAGCUAUUAGCAGCCUAUGUGCUCAGCAACUGGGGAAUGAGGGAACUAGCCAGAUAAAGGGAAUGCACAAGGAGUGCCAAUAGCAUUUUGGUGUCCCCCAGAAAAGGAAAGUUGGAGACUUAUCCUUAUCCUUGCUUGCUUAUCUACCAGGUUGUACCACUUAAACUUCAGCCUUUUGCAAAUUACACUCAUA